rnacentral:rRNA from 1 species
UACGGGGGGGGCAAGCGUUGUUCGGAAUUACUGGGCGUAAAGGCUCGUAGGCGGCCAACUAAGUCGGAUGUGAAAUCCCCAGGCUUAACCUGGGAACUGCAUCCGAUACUGGAUGGCUUGAAUCCGGGAGAGGGAUGCAGAAUUCCAGGUGUAGCGGUGAAAUGCGUAGAUAUCUGGAGGAAUACCGGUGGCGAAGGCGGCAUCCUGGACCGAGAUUGACGCUGAUGAGCGAAAGCUAGGGGAGCAAACGGG